rnacentral:rRNA from 1 species
UACGAAGGGGGCGAGCGUUGUUCGGAAUUACUGGGCGUAAAGGGCGCGUAGGCGGCCGAUCAAGUCAGAUGUGAAAGUCCUGGGCUUAACCUGGGGACUGCAUUUGAUACUGAUUGGCUUGAAUUCGGGAGAGGAUAGCGGAAUUCCCAGUGUAGAGGUGAAAUUCGUAGAUAUCUGGAGGAAUACCGGUGGCGAAGGCGGCAUCCUGGACCAUUACUGACGCUGAGGCGCGAAAGCUAGGGGAGCAAACGGG